GUCUUUCUCUGCCUCUGUGGUGGAUAGUGGAGUGUUUCCCAUGUGGUAUUGGUGUGCUGGAUAUCCCUUCACUGGUAGCCUGGUGACAUACACUCCCAGGUCUUUCUCUGCCUCUGUGGUGGAUAGUGGAGUGUUUCCCAUGUGGUAUUGGUGUGCUGGAUAUCCCUUCACUGGUAGCCUGGUAACAUACACUCCCAGGUCUUUCUCUGCCUCUGUGGUGGAUAGUGGAGUGUUUCCCAUGUGGUAUCGGUGUGCUGGAUAUCCCUUCACUGGUAGCCUGGUAACAUACACUUCCAGGUCUUUCUCUGCCUCUGUGGUGGAUAGUGGAGUGUUUCCCAUGUGGUAUUGGUGUGCUGGAUAUCCCUUCACUGGUAGCCUAGUAACAUACACUCCCAGGUCUUUCUCUGCCUCUGUGGUGGAUAGUGGAGUGUUUCCCAUGUGGUAUCGGUGUGCUGGAUAU